UACGAAGGGUGCAAACGUUGCUCGGAAUUAUUGGGCGUAAAGCGCACGUAGGCGGCGCUGCAAGUCGGAUGUGAAAUCCCUCGGCUUAACCAAGGAAGUGCAUCCGAAACUGCAGUGCUUGAGUACUUAAGAGGAUCGCGGAAUUCCUGGUGUAGCGGUGAAAUGCGCAGAUAUCAGGAAGAACACCCGUGGCGAAGGCGGCUCUCUGGGACGGUACUGACGCUGAGACGCGAAAGCGUGGGGAGCGAACAGG
rnacentral:rRNA from 1 species